AUUGAACGCUGGCGGCAGGCCUAACACAUGCAAGUCGAACGAGUCGCGGACUGGUGAGUAAUGUCUGGGAAACUGCCUGAUGGAGGGGGAUAACUCCUGGAAACCGUAGCUAAUACCGCAUACCAUCGGAUGUUCCCUGAUGGGUUUAGCUAGUAGGUGGGGUAAAGGCUCACCUAGGCGACGAUCCCUAGCUGGGCUGAGAGGAUGACCAGCCACACUGGAACGGAGACACGGUCCAGACUCCUACGGGAGGCAGCAGUGGGGAAUAUUGCACAAUGGGCGCAAGCCGGAUGCAGCCAUGCCGCGUGUAUGAAGAAGGCCUUCGGGUUGUAAAGUACUUUCAGCGGGGAGGCGUUACCCGCAGAAGAAGCACCGGCUAACUCCGUGCCAGCCGCCGCGGUAAUAG
rnacentral:rRNA from 1 species